rnacentral:rRNA from 1 species
ACGCUCGACACCUACGGCAGGCAGCAGUAGGGAAUCUUCCACAAUGGACGCAAGUCUGAUGGAGCAACGCCGCGUGAGUGAAGAAGGUUUUCGGAUCGUAAAGCUCUGUUGUUGGUGAAGAAGGAUAGAGGUAGUAACUGGCCUUUAUUUGACGGUAAUCAACCAGAAAGUCACGGCUAACUACGUGUCAGCAGCCGCGGUAAUCUGAGCGGGCUGGCAAGGC